UCCCAGACUCCUACGGGAGGCAGCAGUGGGGAAUAUUGCACAAUGGGGGAAACCCUGAUGCAGCGACGCCGCGUGAGUGAAGAAGUAUUUCGGUAUGUAAAGCUCUAUCAGCAGGAAAGAAAAUGACGGUACCUGACUAAGAAGCCCCGGCUAGCUACGUGCCAGCAGCCGCGGUAAUACGUAGGGGGCAAGCGUUAUCCGGAUUUACUGGGUGUAAAGGGAGCGUAGACGGUGAAGCAAGUCUGAAGUGAAAGGCAGGGGCUCAACCCCCGGACUGCUUUGGAAACUGGUUGACUGGAGUGCAGGAGAGGUAAGUGGAAUUCCUAGUGUAGCGGUGAAAUGCGUAGAUAUUAGGAGGAACACCAGUGGCGAAGGCGGCUUGCUGGACAGAGACUGACGUUGAGGCUCGAAAGCGUGGGGAGCAAACAGGAUUAGAUACCCCUGUA
rnacentral:rRNA from 1 species